rnacentral:rRNA from 1 species
UAGGGAAUUUUCCACAAUGGGCGAAAGCCUGAUGGAGCAAUGCCGCGUGCAGGAUGAAUGCCUUAGGGUUGUAAACUGCUUUUAUGUGGGAAGAUUAUGACGGUACCACAGGAAUAAGGAUCGGCUAACUCCGUGCCAGCAGCCGCGGUCAUACGGAGGAUCCGAGCGUUAUCCGGAAUAACUGGGCGUAAAGAGAUGCGUAGGUGGCAUAUUAAGCAAAACAUGAAAUCGUAUGGCUCAACCAUACGGCUAUGUUUUGAACUGAUGAGCUAGAGAAUGGUAGGGGAAGUUGGAAUUCCCGGUGUAGGAGUGAAAUCCGUAGAUAUCGGGAGGAACACCAAUGGCGAAGGCAGACUUCUGGACCAUUUCUGACACUGAGGCUCGAAAGCGUGGGGAGCGAACGGG